GUGCCACGAGGGAGGCCACGCGGGCGAUCCACGUGCUCACAAUCGAACGACCCAAAUUCAUUCCCGCGCGCACGGACGGCCCAGAUGCGUUCCCUCCCUAAAUACGAUUGGACAAUCAGAUUUGAACGCAAUCGGAUGGUCUAGAGUGGAUUGCGAUGGACGGCCCAUAUUGAAUUGCGAUAAACGAUUCAGAUUCACUCCCUAUUUAAUCACGAGCAGAGGGUCU
rnacentral:lncRNA from 1 species